UCUCUUUCAGUAUCGGGUAGCAUGAGCGAGGCUCCCCAGCACUGGAGCUGGGCCACACCGCCUGCACACGGAGCAGUAGACGGAGGCGUGACAGCAGGCAAGGCUUAACUGGCUUGCACCCCAGUGAGUCGUCACUCUUGGCUCCCUUGCUCCACCAGGGUUGGGGGUGGUGUCCGAGGCCAGGGUUCUGAGAUCUCAGCCUGUUUGGGGAGGGACCAGUGCCUGCCUCUCAUUCCACAGAAACCCCGAAAUGACGGUGCUGGGAGCCAGGGACACCUGGCCUGCUUCCACGCUGCUUCUACCCCGCGCCAGGGGCAGGACUGUGCCUGGCAAAUUCUCACCUGCAUCUACAGGUCAGACCCCACCCUACGUCCAGGGUGGUCCUGCAGGCUGAGCAGCUCCCUCACCUGGACAGCAGCAGCAGGUGGCACACAUCCAGAUGCCCUCCUCCGCACCUGCUGGGCCUGCCCUGGGUGUAGGUACCCCACCCCCGCCACUCCCACCACAGCCGCCAGAACUGCGGUGGGGAAAACCACUAGGACACAAGGCGGCCAAUGAUUUGAACAAGCGGAAUUUCUUUGUCCUUUGUAAAAGUCAACACAUGACCUGUUACUGAUUGGGAUGUGAAAUAAAACUAAAAAUAACAGCACACUGAGUCUCCAGCAAGGCUCCGCUCACCUUUAACACAGUCCAAGUUCGGUUUAUCAGAUCCCAAGGAGCAGCUAAGCAGCAAGUCAAACACAGGUGAGGGAGGAGCAGGAGCAAGGAAGGGGCCCUGGCCUCACCCUCACCCCUUCCGGACCUGAAACAGCAUCAACUCCUGGGGAACUUGGAGGCGAAACCGCACAGAGAAUCCUGGGCCUGCUCACUUCCCUUGAUGUCUCAGUUUCCCCACUGGGAUCAUCAGGGCUUGGAACAUUCCCUCGUCUUAAGGAGGCUGUAGACAGGGGCCAAGGAGCUUGAGACAAGGCUCAGCUGUGAAACACCCUGCCAGCACCCUAGGCCAUAGGAUCCUGAUAUCGGUCAGGCCACCGCUCCACUCACUGUCUCCAACCGUGCAUUCAGGAGAGAAACUGAGGCAAGAGCCCUCACAGGGCCCCUCACCGCCCUCAUUUCGCCACUUGCCUACAAGGCCUGGGGCGGUGCCGGAAGCCUGCAGAUCAAGGGUCAAAGUCGGUUGGUUAAUUACAACCUCUCCCCUUGGAGGCGCUGGGCAGAGUGUUCAGCGCAUCCUCGCCCCACCCAGGCCUGGGGAGGGGAGUUCCGAAGGAAACCGGCUCGCUCCCGACCAAAGAUUCUGUUGGGGGUGGGGCGG
rnacentral:lncRNA from 1 species